rfam:Ascaris lumbricoides genome assembly, scaffold: ALTE_scaffold0000780
UAAAUGGAUCUUCUAAGAUCCAUAAAUGGAUUUAAUGGGUCUUCU